CGUCUCGCCUUUUCCCCGGCUGAAAGCUGUGCUGUGGGGUCUGCGAGCCAAGCCCAGAGUCGGUGAUUCAUGAAGGGGCAGCAUCAAAUCUAGCAGAUGUAAAGGAUUUCCGAAGAGAUACACAAAGAAAGAGAUCUUACAGCAGAGGGGUAGGAACACAAACCACAGAGACCACAGCAAACGGGGAAAACAGAACUUAACGAGACUCAGACCAACGAAAACAGAUCAACCAAUCAGAAUAGACCCGGUGUUAAGACUGGAAAGUCCCACUUCCCGACAAUAUGGUAGAAAGCAAGCCUUGUGCCCUGCAAAGGGGCCCUUCUCUCAACCUGAUGGGACUGCUGCGUCAGUGUACCAGGCAGAGUUGGGCCCUAGCUGAAGCUAGCA